GCCGACUUUAAUUCGUAUUUUAACCAAGUGAUCCCAGAUCCCAGUAAGAAGUCUAGGCAGAUUCCGAUCGCCUUAAUCCCUAUUGAAUGUGUUACACACUUCACACCUCGAGAGGCGGCCGUGGCCGUCUCCCUCUCUGAUUAUGUUGUUUGCCUCAGUUUCGAGUGCCGCCAAAGCUUGCCGCGUAAUCGUACAACAACUUGACAAAAGAGUUACAGCAACAGUAACAACAACCGCGACGAGUACUGGGGAAAACUGGGGGAAGAAACAACUCAUGACUCUUCAUAGGAACAGCCCUCGGACGGCUGUGGGCCCUAGACUGCCUGUCUUGGAGCUCCGAUCUCGGGGAUCUCUCGAAUCUCGGCUCCCCGGGCUAUGUGGACUCCACUCCACUCCAAACUCCACUUCAGUCUGCAGCCUGAAGAGAGUUUUAUGUGUGUUUUUAGUUUUUUGUUGCUGCCUUUUCAAUAUUUUCUCGAGUGCGACUGACUUUGCACUUGGCGCUUCUUUUUGAAGAUCUCGAGCGGGGAGAGAGCGCUGGCUGGGGGGACGCAGGUGAAUUAUUUAUGGUGAUAGGCAAAAAUAUUAUUUUGUUUUCCGUGUUUUUUUUUUGUCGAAGCGAGCGGCGAGUGCGUUGUUUUCCCCUUUGUUUGUGCGGCGGCAGCGAAAAAAACAAAAGACCUGGCCAAAACAGUACUCGAAAAAUACACUUUGGGGCACUCGUCGCGGCUCUCCAAAAGCGGCUGGAGGUGAGGAGGAGGCGGCCAAGUCCAAGGUGAUGCUGCAGUUUCGUCAGGCUGACUCAGGCUGGCCCAGGCCGGGAGAACCAGGACACUGAAUAAGUUUCUCAAAGUCCAACUAAUGUACUGCAAAGUGCGAGAUGGAUGGGUGUUAAUACCUCUGAGAGCUAUGAACAGUGCGGGGCGUUCCGAGAACUUUAAAGCCCGCCGAACGCUGUAUCUGUUUUAAUGGGUGGUUUGCGAGCGCCCCCUUGAUUGAUUUAUCUGAAGGCCGCUGACUUUGUAGGCAAAUUAAACUUCGGCAUAGUUCGAGCUGCGCACUCAAUGAACAUUAUCUACAGCCGAAUAAUUUCGACGUUAAUUUCGUACAUUUUCUGCGGCGGCUGCUGCGAUAAGAAAAUGGCAAGCCCUGUCUCGCCCGCCCUGCCGCUUCUGGGGGAAAUUUGCGUCGCGUAUUUCUGGCGUAGCAAAUAGAUAUUUUCCACAUUUUAAGUAGACAAGGCAACGGGAGGCCACCGCCCCUGCUCCUGCUCCUGCCCCUACCCCUGUCCCGGGCAUGUGGUUACCAAGGAAUUUUCCUCGAGCUGCAGGAAUUCCACUGCAAAAGGACUCUGCCAGCCCGAAGACCCGAAGAGCCCCGAGAGGGGGUGAAUAUUUUUCUGUCGAAUUUCAUGCCGGGAGAGUGCACAAUGAAAAGGAACGAAAACGAAAACGAAAUAUUGCAUCCUUGCGGGUCCCGAAAUUUCCACGAAUUGUGCGGAGAGAGGUCGGGAAAGUCGGGGCCUUAAAGAUACUUUUUUGCACCAUAAUUAAAGAACUCUGAACUGGGUGUUGGCAUAGCAGUAGAAACGAACCUCCAACUGACAGCCGCAGACGAGCAGACGCUUUAAUUGUGAAUCACCCUCAUCAAACUCAGGCACUCCUAAGUGGCCAGAAACAUAUUUCAGGAUGAUGAGCUAAUGCCGAUGUUAAUGCCCCGAUAAAGAGCCAGAAGAUGCCGGAGCAUAACUCUGUUGUUUAUUUACACGGCAACUCGUCAAGUGUCGCGCUUAAAUGCAAAUCAAAUUGAGAUCAAUCCCCGGGUCAGGGAAAUAAAAUUGGAAACGAAAAUAAACAGAAGCGGCGGGCGGUCGCCCGGGGCGAAAGGGGUGGCUUUUCCCUAUCCCUAGGCCGCUGAGCAGGAGGAGGGCUGCGUCCUCCUUCCCCCGCUGACAUUGAUUGAAAAUGCUGCGUGACGUAAAUUAACUUUCAUGGGGGUUAUCUUGGCCUGUUAUCCUUUCCGCUCGGGAAGUUCGUCAAGCCGCAAGACCCACACAAUUGCCAAUUGUUACAGUUUUAAAACAUUUUCCAAGCCGGGAGGGAUGUGUGGCAGCUUGUUUUUGUCACUGCGGCAUUUAAAUCCGGCCCUCCCUUGUCCCCUGUUUCCUGUCCCCUGUCCAUUGACCUUGUGUGAAGUGCACUUUUUGUAUUGCCAACUAAGGCGAUUAUCUGCUGGAGUUGUUGUUCUAGCUUAUUUACAUUGACGAAAUGUGCCGGAGGAACAACAAUAACAGGAAGCUCUAGCUCUGGAUCUGGCUCUGUUUGUUAUCUUACCACGCACAAUUAGACAAUUUCCAUUUACUCCGCCGGCCCAGGCCAGGCCCUCGGCGUUGACAGUUUUUCUCAGGGACUCUCCGGGCUGGGACUGGGAGUUUCCCUGUCUUUUCUUUUCGAUGUGAAAGCAUUUCCCCAGUUCCCAGUAGGCCACGUUCCUCCCUCUUUAAUUCUGUAUUGUUUUUGUAUGGGAAAAUGGGGAAUGGGCGGAGGUUUAUGUAAAUUCUUGGAGAUAUUUUUGACAAAGAAAGCAGAUCUCUUUCCCAUUGUCUCCUCACACCCAGCUUGGACAGUCAUUAGACAAUUAUUAGAAUUCAUAACGCAUUUCAGAUUCAAAUCGAUCUCCCUUCACACCUCGCCAGCAUCUGCAGAUCCGUUCCCACAACUUUUAACUCUUUUGUCACAACUCUGACACGAACUCCCAAUUGAAAUUAAAAUUGUACGCAUUGUCAAGAGCGAAAUAAAAAAGUGAAGGGCUGGCUGGCAGAAAUUGCCCAUAUCUGUUCGGGUGUAUCUCUCCUGAAUCCUUGAACCCCGAAAUCCCAGGACCAGGACCAGGACCAGCUGCUGCACGUUUGGGAAUCGCACUUCGCACUCGUAGAAAUUGAAACAGAAAUGCGAUGUUUUAUAAUGAGGACCGAGGAGGGAGGUAGAAGGUAGAAGCGCCGGAGAAGAGCUUAUGUAACAUUACGUCAAAUGGCACAAAAGGCAAUACAUCUUCAUCCCCUAAAAAAAACAGGACCGAGCUGAACGGCGAACUUGUUCCCAUUUUACAAUGAAAAUUUACGAACUGACUGUUGCUUUUUUUAUUUCGCAUUAUCAUAUUUCUGGGCCGACACGCCAAUGAAUAGAAUGCGCAUCGAAUUUCCCUCGGAAUCGGCAGUAACCCCCGGAAUCAACGGAAUCAUCAACACCAGCAUCGGAUGGGUUUUUCGGGAGGCCGACAACAAGGACGGGGCGGAAGGUCGCGGGGAGUUGACAAACAAGCAACACCAAAAAGGUUUCCAGCGGAGGGUUGUUUCCCAACUCCCGGAGAAGUGCAAACUUCCUCGCUGAGUCUGGUGCUGUUUCUUUCGGCUGCAGUAUGGCCAUCUCUCUCGCUGGGGAAUCGUGUUUCAUGGGUGGUCGCUUUUGACUUAAAAUUUGUCUGGCUUUACACUUAUCGUCGUAAUAUAGUUAUGGAUCUGCCACACCGGCGGUUGCAUAAAUUAGACACAGCCGGACGGGCAUUCAAGCCAUCAAGUGAUAAGCCGGAGAAAGAGGCGGCUAUAGAGGGGCAGAGCGAGACAGAGACUAAAAAGAGGGGAGAUAAGUUAUUUUUUAAUUUCUGGCUUUUGUUAACCUCGGUGCCAUUUUUAUAUUCUCAAGGAAACAUUAAAAGCCAUGUACUCCCGACUUUUAUUAUUCAUUAUUUUCGCAUUCAUUUGUGCAUCCGCGGAAGGGACGUAUGCCGGAGCGGAGCAGAGCCGGGACGGCCGGGAGGGGCAGCCGGGACAGCCGGGCCAGCCGAUGGUGGCGUGCCAUUAAUAGAGCUAUCACGAGCCGUAUGCUGCUGAUGACAGUGCCGGCUUAUCAAGCUGCCAGUUCGCAGUCCGCGCCGUUUAAAACUGCAUUUCUCAGCACACAAAUCACAAAUCACUGCGCGGCAUGCAAUCUCUCACACAAAUCAUUUCAUUUUUCGUCGACGGCCGGCGAUGGAGCCAAGUGUCAUUAGCGUCACACGUCCCGAUCCGAGUCCAUCCCGAUCCCCGGUCCCCAAUCCCCUUCCUGCGGGGUGUUUAUUAGUAAGGGGCAUUUAUCAGCAAUUAUAAUUAUACGGCUCUCCCCGCGAAUCCGCGAAUGCGACUCAAAUUGCCAGUAUGCCAGUGCCAAGUGAGCCCCGACGACCUCUCCUCCCGAGCUGGAACCAGAGCCCCGAUCGAUAGGGCUCAGAGCUGAUCCGCACAACUAUUUCGAAAUACUUCUUCCAAAACGACAUCCUACACUCCACUGUGGCAUGUUUGGGAAGUCCACACUGCGCCCUAAAUGCUUUUUAAGUGCCCGGCCGACCAAAUUAAGCAGUUCGUGUUUUGGGCAACCUCUUGAGCAGCCACGCCCCCUGGAACCAUCGAUCGCCCCGGCCAGUGUCCUUGUUUGCGUUUUGUUCCUGUUUCGAAACGAAAGCCCAGCAACACGUAAGACGCUACAGAUAGAGAAAGUUUCCUGGCGGGAGGACUACUUCCGAAGCAGGGUCCUGUGACAUUAGUCCUGUUUUUCCGCAGUGCCCAACCGCAUUGGGCGUGGCACUGGCUUCCUCCCCAAUCAACCCCGCCCUCGGAUUUCCAAACGCAAACAUUCAUUGACAAAUUGUUCGCCCUGGCGGCGGCCGGCGGGCGGAGAGGUGGGCGUGGUCGGUGGUUCUGCUCACCUGCCCGACUUUGUUAUGCCACCUACUAACUUAACUAACGAUCUCGGGGAACGUCCCCUUCGCCGCGGCCCGGCCGGAGUGUGUCGUGGGCGUUCUGUGGGGAAAAUUUGACAUUUUGUAGAGGAAUUAUCUUGAGUCAACAGGAAGAAAGUGGUACACAAAACAGUGUAGAAAAUUGUGGUAAAUAUAGGUGUAUAUUUAUACACGCAUUUGCCUGCUCAGCGGCCUGGAAAUUGUGGGUUAGACUAAUGAUAAACGACAUUGGACGGGGGACUAAUGGGUGGACUAACGGAGUGUGGAAAGCGGUUCGACGCAGGGAACGAUGACCUGUCCGUGAUUUCGGAUCACUCCCGCGGAAGAUUGUCUCCGAGAGGCGAACACAAGAGCCACCACAAAGAACCCAAAGCACGAAAUGCGGAAUGGCUUGCAAGGCAGCCCCUUCCACAGCCCAUCCGACACCCACCGCCGGCGGAGAUGUACACACAUGUGUCCCGGGCUAAAUUUAAACAACGCCCAUAUAAUGCUUUCAAUGGAAAAAUAUCUUUUGUAGCGCCAAAUGGCGCCUUGGCGCAAAAGUUCCAUUUCGGCUGGCGUUUUCGCUUUCGCGUCCGUACAUACGUCUUUCUUUCGAGGCGAGCCAUUCGUUUCGCCGGCCUGGGCCUGACUCUUCAAAUAUUCAUUGAGUUUGACUAAAAGGCGC